rnacentral:lncRNA from 1 species
GAUCUAGGGAAGAUAAAUGAUAUGGGCAACGAUAUCUUUAGAACACCUUGAUGUUAAAUAGUUUCCAGUAGGUGAAAAUAGACUUUUAUUGAUAUCUGGGAUCGAAUACAAUGAGUCGAACUAGAUCGAAUGUAACACACAAAUUUGAUCAAGAAGGAAUUUAAAUGUGGGAAGACAAUCAGAUUGAUAUGAAUGUAAGGCUCUCUCUAGGGUUUUCAACGUGUCCACCUUCUUGUUUCUUCUCCUUCUUUUAUAGCAAGUCGACUCCGAGAUCUCCGUGCCAGCUCUGCGAUCUCAGUUUCUUGUUGCGCGAUCAUUGCGACCUCUGUGACUCUUUCUUCGAGCUCAAUUCUUGUUGUGGGCCUCGGCAUGUCUCGGUCCAUGUCUAUGAUCGGGCCCCAUUUCGGUCUUGACCAAAAUUGGGUCCAACAUAUACUUUAGGAAAUCAGAUCCUUUGGAUCUAAUAAAGUCAAAUUCUCUUAAAUGGAUGGAAAGUAUUACUUCAGUAAACGUUUAGGGUAUGAAUGGGGUUUAAUUUUCUACAAGUAGACAAAAACAAAGUUUAG